rnacentral:rRNA from 1 species
GACGAACGCUGGCGGCGUGCUAAACACAUGCAAGUCGAACGGAAAGGCCCUGCUUUUGUGGGGUGCUCGAGUGGCGAACGGGUGAGUAACACGUGAGUAACCUGCCCUUGACUUUGGGAUAACUUCAGGAAACUGGGGCUAAUACCGGAUAGGAGCUCCUGCUGCAUGGUGGGGGUUGGAAAGUUUCGGCGGUUGGGGAUGGACUCGCGGCUUAUCAGCUUGUUGGUGGGGUAGUGGCUUACCAAGGCUUUGACGGGUAGCCGGCCUGAGAGGGUGACCGGCCACAUUGGGACUGAGAUACGGCCCAGACUCCUACGGGAGGCAGCAGUGGGGAAUAUUGCAUAAUGGGCGGAAGCCUGAUGCAGCAACGCCGCGUGCGGGAUGACGGCCUUCGGGUUGUAAACCGCUUUCGCCUGUGACGAAGCGUGAGUGACGGUAAUGGGUAAAGAAGCACCGGCUAACUACGUG